rnacentral:lncRNA from 1 species
AACUCAGGGAACUUGCGGGUUUCUUCUUCGACGAUUCCUCGGUUCCAUUUAUUGUUCAUGAUCUCAACCCAGUUCUCAUCGGGAACCAUUGAUUUACCAUAUGAUAUCUCAGUUCCUACGGAGGUAACGAUAACAUCAGGAGUUAACAGUGGUCUCGCUUUCCUCAGUUUCUUGUACAUUGUUUUUGCUCUUCCCGUUGAGAAAACAAGAAGAGAGUCAUGGCGAUAAGCUUCCUCCCACAAUGAAUUGAACCUCAACAAAGAGUGAUUUUCAUUAUCGUUUCGAUGUUCAACCUGGAAAACACACACACACAAGAAGAUGGAAGGAAACGUGUACACGUAAAAUAAAAAUCGUUGCUCUUGAAAGAAGAAUCUUAGAUAUAAAAUACCAUUGUAUCAUCAAGAUCUGAGACUAUCAUGAGACGAGGAGGAGAUGUCAACCGCUCCAUGAGUUACAAAUCAAACGUCCUGAUCAAGAAUGAGAUCAGAGACAAACCUGAGGAAUGUAAAAGUAUGACUUUGGUUGUGAGAGAGAAGAGAGCAAGCGCAGAGCUGGGAAGAACAAGUCAAUCUUUUCCUAAACUCUUAUUUAAAUUUUUAUUUUGCUUUUCUUUCUUCCACUACAUAUUAUUUUGUUUCUUUUUCCUCCACGAAACAGUAAUUUGUUUUCCUAUUUUCCACAAAAUAUUAUUUUGUAUCUCUUCUCUAUUCCACGUUGUUACCUACUUAUUUACUUGAUAAAAUACUAGUUAAUUUAAAAAAAUUCAUUUGGCUAAUUGUCAGAGGCGAGUCUCAACCCAUUCCAAAUCCUAUCCAAGAAUCCGGUCUAAUAUCUCUAAGGCACAAGAGAAGAUAUUAAGCCUACGAAAGUUAUCAUGGCUUAUACCGAGCUAGGAAGAUGAUCCAUGCCGAGCUCCCGUAUUCAGUCCUGAACAUAACAUAGGACAAUAUAUUAAAAACAAUCAUAAAAGCACCUAAUACUCGUCAGAGAAGAAGAAUUCGGAUCAUAGUAUCCUUACGUUCUACCUCUGUCUAUCUAUAGAAGAAGAACCAAAAAAAAGAAGGGGGGGGGAUCCAAAUUCUUUGAUAGCAAACAUAUAGUCUAAAUGCUCUUGUACUUUCUUGUUAAUCGAUACCCUUUAUCUCUCUAUGGUUGUAUCUUCUCACAUAAUCAAUAAACAUACACUUUUUGUAAGCUCGAGUGUUUUAAGGAAACAAUAGAAGCCGGUGAGAUACGCAAAAGUUAUGGAGGAGCAAAUAAAGGAAGUGAAGAUUCGAUGAGUUGAGAGAUAUAUAAGGAAGUUAGUCCGUAGUGGUUGAGGUUAGGGAUUUAGAAAGAAAAGCAGCUAGCCGUAAAAGUACAAGGACUAGAGUUUUGUUAUAGCUUAGAGAUCAAGAAACGUGUGUGGUCUUGAUUGUGUUAUAGAAAUUGAUCAGUCGAGAUACACGUGUGUGUGAUCUCAUAAACCUGAUUGAACAAGCUUGUAAAGUUUGUUCAAGCGAUUUCUAAUAAAGUGUAUGUUGAAAGUGUUCUAACUUUGAGCUUAUCUAAGAUCUUGAUUCUACAAUUGGUAUUAGAGCGCGUCAACCUCUGCGAUACUAAAGAUCAAAUACAGGUUGAGGUAUUGGGAAAGAUAUGGAUAAGUCAGAAGAAGAAGCGAAUGAUAAUCAUAACAACAACGCUGAAAAAGACCACUACCAGAAGCUGCUGGACGAGUUAUCGUGUCUAAGCAAGGGAAACCUCAGAUUGCUAAAGGACAAGGCCGUAUUGAGGGCCCAGAUGAACAUCCUGGAAAUGGAGAAGUCACAGUUCAACGAGUCGCCCAAAAGAUCAAAGAAAGAUAAUCAACAUAUCUCUCGGGAGAGGAAGUUCCAAGAGGAUCCACUAGGGAAUGUCUACACUCCUGUAAGAAAAUCGAGACACAAAUCAUGUCGAGUGUGUGGAAAAUCAGGCCACAACAAAGAAACAUGUUAUCAAUGGGAUAGGAAAGUUCUUCGUGCAUGGAGAUCGGGAAGAUGUCACUUGAAAAGACAGAAAUUUGGAAAAGUCUAGAUACGCAAAGAUGACGUCUACUCGAUUCAAUUACAAUCAGAAAAGGGGGCAUGUCAGAUAUACAAGCUGAAUGCGCUCAUGUGGCAUACACUUCAAGUGAAGGAAGAAGAUCUGAUGACUGGUAUUUUGAUAGUGGGAGUUCUCGACGCAUGACAGGAAAUAAAGAUCUUCUAGGAGAGAUAUCUCCAAUCAAAGGAGGAAAAGUAAUAUUUGGUGAUGGUAUGCAAGGCAGAAUACAAGGAGUGGGACACACUGAAAAUAGUGAGGAACCACAUUUGACAAAUGUGUAUCUUGUGGACAGGCUGAAAGCCAAUCUGAUCAGCAUUUGUCAGUUGUGUGAUGAAGGACUCACUGUGAUUUUCACAAAAGUUGAUUGCAAAGCCUUGGAUGAGCGUAGAGACAUAAAACUUCAAGGAAUCAGAUCAGGGAACAACUGCUAUAUGUGGAAUGCAUCAAAUCAAUGUCUAGUCACGGUCAAGUCACAACUGGAUAUUUGGCACAGAAAGUUGGGACACAUGAGCACUCAUGGUCUGAGCAAAAUUGUGAACACCGGGGUAGUAAGAGGAAUUCCUAAGCUGGAGACAUCAACUGAACUUGACUGCAAAACUUGCUGCAAAGGAAAACAGGUAAAAGUUCAACACAAGCAGCUCUCAGAUAUCAGAACCACAAGGAUUAUCGAACUGGUUCACAUGGAUCUUAUGGGACCAGUCCAGACAGAGAGUAUCUCUGGCAAACGAUACAUCCUAGUUCUUGUAGAUGAUUUCUCUAGGUACACAUGGGUGAUGUUUCUACGCAACAAAUCCGUUGCUUUUGUAAGCUUUAAAAUUCUCGCCUUGCAACUGAAGUCAGAAAAUGAAGGAAUAUAUCAGAUCAGAAGUGAUCACGAAGGAGAAUUCCAAAAUGCAGCGUUUGACAAAUUCUGUCACGAGCAAGGGAUUAGGCAUUAGUAUUCAACUCCAUACACACCCCAACAAAACGGUGUGGUUGAAAGGAAAAAUCAAACUUUACAAGAGAUGGCCAGAUCGCCAUGUUGCAUGGGAACAACGUUUCCACAAGGUUUUGGGCAAAGGCUAUAAACACUGCAUGUUACACCAUCAAUCGUGUGUAUGUGAGGCCUGGAACCAAGAUGACUCCCUAUGAGAUAUGGAGAGGGAAACCUUCAAAUCUAAGCUACUUCCAUGUGUUUGGAUGCAUAUGCCACAUUCUGAACGAGACGGAUCAAAUUAGAAAAUUUGACUCAAGAAAUGAUGAAGGGAUCUUUCUUGGUUACUCUACCAACAACAUGACAUACAUAGUGUACAACAAGAGAACUUGCUAUUUGGGAGAUGUUGUAAAUGUUGUGUUCGAUGAUAAUCAAAGUUUACAUUUGGAACCAGUGGCUUCACAAAACGAGGAGAAUAGACAUACAAGCCAUGAGUCAAAAGCUGAAGAGGAUAGUGAUAAAGAUGAUGCAUUUGAAAGUGACACGGCCAAACUAGAGGAACCAUCCUCAACACAAGUACAUCGAAAUCACUCCCUGGAUGAUGUGACCAGAGACUUGAACGAAGGUAGGAAGACCAGAAAGAAACAGAUUAACUUUAAAGCCAUGGUAAAACUUGCAUGCUUCAUUUCGAAGAUCGAGCCAAAGACCAUAAGUGAGGCACUAGAUGAUUAGUUAUGGACCAACUCUAUGCAUGAGGAACUAGAACAGUUUACUAGACUGGACGUAUGGGAUUUAUGUCCAAAACCAGGAGGAGUGAAUGUUGUUGGAACCAAAUGGAUUUUCAAGAACGAAAUAGAUGAAGAUGAGAAUAUUGUUCGUAACAAGUCGAGACUUGUAGCUCAAGGUUAUUCAUAGAUUGAAGGUAUUGAUUUUGAUGAAAAAUUUGCUCAUGUGGCUCGGUUGGAAUCAAUACGACUACUGUUUGGAAUUGCAUGCAAACUGAGGAUCAAACUCUACCAAAUGGAUGUUAAAAGUGCUUUCCUGAAUGGUGUCUUGCAAGAGUAAGUGUAUGUAGCACAGACUAAGGGAUUCGAAGAUCCACGCACCCUCUUCACGUCUACAAACUAAAGAGAGCCCUACACGGCCUGAAGCAGACUCCGAGAGCGUGGUAUGAAUGUCUCACACUGUUCCUUCUAAAGGCGGGAUUCAAGAGAGGAAAUGUAGAUAAGACCUUAUUCAUUCUGAAUCAAGAAAAUGAUAUCUUGAUAGUUCAAAUCUAUGUUGAUGACAUCAUCUUUGGAGCCACAAAGCAGAGUAUGAUCGACAUGUUUGUGAAAACAAUGACAAAGGAGUUUGAAAUGAGCAUGGUCGGUGAAUUGAAAUACUUCCUUGGUCUACAAGUCAAACAAACGGAAGCUGGAAUUUUUGUUUCUCAAAGCACCUAUGCGAGAAAUCUGGUAAAGAGAUUUGAUCUAGAGACGAGUAAGAGUGCACGAACACCUAUGAGCACGACUGUUAAGCUGAGCAAGGAUGAAGACGGCACAAAAGUUGAUGAGAAAUUAUACAGAGCCAUGAUUGGAAGCCUACUGUAUCUCACAGCAAGUAGACAAGAUCUGUGUCUGAGUGUGGGGUUGUGUGCUAGGUAUCAAGCCAAUCGACGAACCUCCAAGCAGUGUAACGUAUCGUCAAAUACGUAAAGGGCACCUUAAACUAUGGUAUGAAUUAUACUGUGGAAACUAACUCAAACCUUGCUGGCUUUUGUGUUGCAGGUUGGGCUGGAUGCUUAGAUGAUCGAAAAAGCACAUCAGGAGGGUGUUUCUUCCUCGGUAAUAAUGUUAUAGCCUGGCAUAGAAAAGAAACAAAAUUGUGUAUCUUUGUCUACUGCUGAAGCUGAGUACAUUGUCCUGGGUAGCUGUUGCACUCAACUCCUGUGGAUGCGUCACAUGCUUGAUAAGUAUGGUAUCAACACACUCUUUUUUUUUGUGCAUUGUGAUAAUAAGAGUGCUAUAAACAUAUCAAAAAAUCAUGUUCAACAUUCUAGAACCAGACAUGUUGACAUUAGGCAUCACUUUGUUAGAGGACUAGUUGAGGAGAAACUUACAAUCAUAGAACACGUACCAUCUGAAAAAUAACUAGCUGACAUAUUUACUAAACCAUUGGACCUCAACACUUUCUUGCAUCUGCGAAAGGCGUUGGGGAUUUGUGAACAAUGAUGAACAAAGGUCUUAGAUUAUUUUCCUACUGUCAAAAUUAAUCCCAUCACUAUAGUCUUGCAUGUGUCUCCCUGUGGAAAAUGUCAACCUACUGUAGAUAGCUCUAGUAGUGUCAAAAACAAAUCUCGGGAAGAAAAACAUCCACAAUAGAUUAGGCUGCUAAAACAGUUUAUAUCUGAUGUGUUCAAUGUUUGGACUGAGGUAGAGUGAAAGGAAAACAUUGGACUUGUUACUACUCGUAAAGCCAAAUCUUGGACGAUUAAAUAUCGUUGUUGGGAGAGUUAGUAUAUAGUUAUGAAGAUGUUCCUGAAAUUCCAGAGAAGUGUUUGUGAAUGUUGAAGAGUAAUCCAACAUAUAUUUAAGAAAAAAAUGAGUGAACUAAAAAUGUUAGCUCUUGAUAUGAAUGCAUCUCAGAUGGGAAACGCAGUAUCAAUCUCAAGCCUUGUGCAAAAAUGAGAAAAACACUCUCUGGAACAGCAAUUAUCUUCUAAUGACUAAAUUUGUUUUUUUUUUUACAAAUUCAGGUGUUAAAAUUUGAAGUUGACAUAAAAAGGCUGCUAUAGGAGUCAUUACAUGAGAAAGGUAUGAAUGCGUCUUGGCUAAGAAAAGCAGUACUAUUUAAAAUGAGACUCAUCUGAGACUAUAGUAGUUGUGGUGAACGAGAGUCGGUUAGAAUGAUUCAUGUGUGUGACUAAGGUUCUCAAAUUCGUAAUCGUUUAAAGUUGGUAAGUAAAAUUGGUACAGUUUCUAUGGUUGUUGGGUUUCAUCUCACAAGUCAUCUAUAAAAAUGCUUAUGCUUGGACAGUUAGAGUGAUGGGGCGGUUGAGUGACUUCACCCUUAUUUUCUUCUAUCGGUUAUAGAGCUUCUCAUUAGGGUUUGACUGAUUUCUUCUCAUCUUGUCUCUCCUUUAGAUUAUCCAAAUCUGAUCUCUUUAUAUUCACUCGCCCCUCGGUCUCUCUCUAUGUAUUCUUCAAACUCCCUUCUUGCAUGUUUCUCUUUUGAUCUCUCAUGGCGAGUCGUGUCAUCAAUCUUUCCACUCCCGUGCCUUAUCUUUCUUUUCAAGAGCGUCUCCAAACAAACCAAGCAAUCUUCGCCGAUGAUGACUUUCCCGUCAGAUCUCCCUCGAGAAGGUACGAGAACAACCAUGAUGCUCUUAAGUACGAUGACCUGUGUCUACGAGGUUUCGUGGUUCACGCUGGUUCCUAAAGACUCAGACUUUGUUGAAGUCUUUAGGCUCCUCGAGAGGAUUGAAUGGGCAUAUACGGUCCUACAUGUUCGGCCUUUUGUCCUAGGAUAGUUAGAGAGUUGAUCUCGAACCUGUGUCAAUGUGCCGACGGUGUGCUGGUUCGUGGAACUCACUAUCGGUUUGAUCAUGAUGUGAUCAACGCCGUGAUGAUCACUCCGCAUGUUGAGCGAUCCUUCGACUGGGAGAACUGUGAUCUGAGCUUGGCGAUAUCAUCAGCUCUCAUGGGGUACCGUUGCUCGGGGUGGCCUGGAUUCACUCUUACUGCGCUCAUUGCUCUGUAUCAGGAAUUCUACCGUGUUUGCGAGUGAAACUGGCUUCCGGGGCAAGAUACUGACGCCAUGAUCAAACUUCGCAUCUGCUUGAUCUAUGCUCACGUCAAUCGCCGUCCUGUCAAUUUUGGUGAACUGGUGUAUGAUCAGAUUCUUGCGAUGGCUUGACAGUUUGAUCAGGAGAAGAAGAUAGUCUUCCCGAACCUUAUCUACCAGGUCAUGCAGUUUCAGAAGGAACUCCCUAUGAUUCCCGGAGAUGAAGUACCCAUUGGUGAAGGUGUCCACAUUUGGAGCUUGCCAGCAGACUCGCCAGUUCUCAACAACCGUGGACCAAGAGGAUGCAGAAGGAUCGAUGGGUGAUGUUUUUGUCGGAUCGUUCGCUCAUUCAGGGGGAGAUCUUGGUUGUGUGUGCUUGGCUUGUGUGUUUAUGCUUUUCAAAACCUUUUAAUUCUCGGAUGCAUGGUUCAUUUUUUUACUUGUUGGACCAUUGUGAACAAUCUCGGCUUGUAAUGUUUAAGACUUUCUCGAAUGUUUAAUUAAUGCCUCUUGCUAGUCUGUGAGCAAUAUAUGUUGUGCUUGUGUUACUUGUGGAUAAUGGUUUUGCAGGUUCAUGAAUGAGUUGAUCGAUACACACAAAAGGGGGGAGAUUGUAUGCUCAAGUGUUUUAAGGAAACAAUAGAAGCUGGUGAGAUACGCAAACGAUAUGGAUGAGCAAAUAAAGGAAGUGAAGAUUCGAUGAGUUGAGAGAUAUAUAAGGAAGUUAGUCUGUAGUGGUUGAGGCUAGGGAUUUAGAAAGAAAAGCAGCUAGCCGUAAAAGUACAAGGACUAGAGUUUCUUUAUAGCUUAGAGAUCAAGAACUGUGUCUGGUCUUGAUUGUGUUAUAUAAAUUGAUCACUCGAGAUACAUGUGUGUGUAAUCUCUUAAACCUGAUUGAACAAGGCUUGUAAAGUUUGUUCAAACGAUUUCUAAUAAAGUGUAUGUUGAAAGUGUUCUAACUUUGAGCUUAUCUAAGAUCUUGAUUCUACACUUUUCGUACUUAAUUUCUAGUGUAUAUAAUUUUCUCAAAAUUAUUCUUACUCAUAACAAUACUAAUAACAAAAAAACUUAAUUUAAUCGGGUGGUUAAGAUGAUUUUACUUGUGUUCGAAUGCGCGAAUUCGAGCCCAAAAAUAAUAAAUUUUUAGUUUUAAAGAGUUUAUCCAAAAUGACAUCAUUUUGAUAAACUAACCGUUGAUUAACACUUUUUACAGUUAAUAUAUAUAAGAGUUCAUGUAGUUUUUAAUUUUUAUUUAGUUCAUUCUAAAAUAGGCACUACUACAAAGUAUGUGAAGGAGAAGUCAUGACUCAUAAAAUUCAUGUUGAAAUAUUGAUAUUUAACUUAUAUUUAAAAUAUACCACUUCACCAUAAGGAAGGAUAAGUGCCUCAGGGUUAGGGCUGGGUAAAUAAACCGUAUCCAAAAAUAUGACCCAAACCCGACCCAAUGAAAAUGAAUAUGUACCAAACCGAAUCCGAGUAAAACUCAUAUAAUGAUUAGUGGGACUUAAUAACCAAUAUAAUCAUCAUAAAUAAAUAAAGGUUUUUGAAGAUAGUAAUAUAAAUAAAUAAAUAAAUAAAGGUAUAUACAUACUCCUUUAUAGAAUAUGUAACAAUUUUGCAUCAAUUUUUUUUUUGCGGUGUUAUAUUCCAAUUCAAAAAGUACAAAUUGGGAUUUUUUUUUUCAGUUCAAAUCAUACUAAAUUUCAGAGUUGGUGUUUUAACAUAUAUAUACGUUUUGAUAUUUGAAAUAUUCAGUUACGCAUUAUAUAUCAAGAACCCAUUUAGUAAUAUUUUUUUUAUUUAACUUCUGUUUAAGGUAUAUCAUCUCAUCGCUUUUUAAAGAAUGAUAAGUGGUAAAAGUUUAUAUAAAAUAGUCAAUAUAAAAUAGUCAAAGUUAUUUAUAUAUCAUAAUUAUAGGUUCAUAUAUGUCUUCCAAAUCCGUAAAUUAGGGUUUUAGUUUCCUAAUAUAAAAAAAAAUAAAAAUAAAAAUAUAAUAUUGAAUAUGCGUUUAAAUGACACAAUUCUUGAUUUGCUUGGUUGCUACUAAAACAAGUAGAUUAAAUAAUAAGCUAAAAGAGAAUGUGUUUGGAAGGGAAACCCUUAACCAAAUUUACAAACUUUUAAAGUUUAUUAUAAACCAAAUUGCAUGACAGGCCUAAUUUAAUUAUAUAAACGUCAGAUAAAAUGAAUAAAGGGAAAUAAAUUCAAUAUGAAUUAAUCAAUAAGCAUUUAUUAGCAUAUAUUCUCAUUCAGACAUGUGAGGGGUAUUUAUAGUGUGUGAACUGUGAAGCUAUAUACGUAUUUGACAUUACAUAUUUAAGCAAGAGGAAUAUGAUGCCGUAAAACGCAACAUGGUUAUUUGUUUAUUCGUAAUGAAUCAACUUUCUUUUAUUUUCAAAAAAAAUGAAUCAACUUUCUUUGUAUUAACAACUCAAUCCUUGCUUCGAUAACAGUAUAUAAAAUUUGGAAAAUUUGUUACGUUAAUAUUAUGUAAAUUUUACUUCAGAAAGAGACAGCAAGUCGUGAGGUGGAGAACAUGGAGGAAGUAAAUCAUUGCAAAUAUUCGUACGUAACGAGUUUACUUCAGUCGUCCCCAUGCAAAUUCUCAUGCACGCAAACUUUUCUUUAUAAACCAUUCCAAGUUCACGAUUUAGUCAUCAUCAUCAAAUUACCUAUCAACAAAAAGCAAAUUAAAUCAACUAAGAAAGAACUGAAGAAAGCAACCCAUAACAAUGCUCUUAACCAUGGAAAUUCCAAAAGCUCACUUCUCUUUGGCCAUUCUUGUCAUUCUCUUUGCGGUUUCAAGUAGCCAAAAUGUUGGCAACCCGGCCUGUAAGGCUAAAGAACCCUUCAACUGCGACAAUCCCCUUACAUUCAACCGAACUAGUUUUCCAAAGAACUUCACUUUUGGUGCGGCUACUUCCGCCUACCAGGUACAUAUCUCUUUGUUACUAACCGUUUUAAAAGAUAUAUAUAGCGAUCUGUUAAGAUUAUUUUUAUCUAUAUAAAACCCGGCCGGCAUGAUUUAUAUAUAUUUGUACCAGAUUGAAGGUGCAGCACAUAGAGCACUUAACGGAUGGGACUAUUACACUCAUAGAUAUCCAGGUCAUAAAAAUCAUUCAUUAAAAAAUUUCCCUUAUAAUUAAAUAGCAUGUAUGGGAAAUUAAGUGUACAAACAACGGAUGGGACGAUUUCACUCAUAGAAAUUUAAGUGUCCCGUUCAUGCUCAAAAUUCGGUUUGCUAUAUAUGUACAGAGAAAGUUCCAGAUCACAGUUCCGGAGACCUUGCUUGUGAUUCGUAUGAUCUUUACAAGGUGAGAAGCUAUCAUUGAUGAAUGUGUGUAUACAUGUAGUUUUUCGAUUUCAGAAACUCUCAUAUGAUUAACAGGAGGAUGUCAAAUUACUGAAAAGAAUGAAGGCUCAAGCCUACCGGCUCUCAAUAGCAUGGUCUAGGGUCUUACCAAGUAAGUGCAUAUGAUAAGAACAUAAUUUUAUUAAUGUUAGUAUUGAUAUUAUUGCUAUUAUAUUAUUAUUAUAUUUUUAACUAAUGUGAUUAUUGUAUAUAUGCUUACCUUUAGAGGGAAGAUUGAUAGGAGGGAUUGACGAAAACGGGAUCAAAUACUACAAUAACCUCAUCAAUGAGUUAAAAGCAAAUGGUAAAAAUGUUAUAAAAAUUUGUAUUCUUCGCAAUACAUAUAUGAGCAAAUUCUAAUUGUCUUAUGAAUAAAUGUGUGAAUUAAUAAAGGCAUAGAACCGUACGUAACAAUCUUUCACUGGGAUGUUCCCCAAACUCUAGAAGAUGAGUAUGGAGGUUUCUUGAGCCGGCGUAUAGUGUAAGUGCAUUAAAUAAAUUAUAUAUUACACCUGUUUUUCUUUGUGUUAGGUUAUGUUAUUUAUGUACAUCACAUCAGAUCUAUAUUUUAUCGAAUAUGUAUGAUACAUGGACAGGGAGGACUACAAAAACUAUGCCGAGCUUCUAUUCCAGAGGUUUGGAGACAGAGUCAAAUUUUGGAUCACUUUAAACCAACCUUACUCUCUUGCAAGCAAAGGUUAUGGAGAUGGAUCGUAUCCGCCUGGACGGUGCACUGGCUGUGAAUUUGGAGGAGAUUCUGGAACCGAACCUUAUAUAGUUGGACAUAACCAACUUCUGGCUCAUGCAAAAGUUGUAGCAUUAUACAGAAAAAGAUAUCAGGUUCAUAUACUUACCAAAUAUGUCAAUAAAUUUUUGCUUCCAAAAUUAUUUGUAUGUGGUAUAUGUAUCUUAUAAUCCAAAAAUAUCAAUGCAUGCAGAAAUUACAAGGUGGUAAGAUAGGAACGACCUUGAUCGGGAGAUGGUUCACCCCAUUAAACGAAAAUAGCAUUCGCGACACGGCUGCUGCAAAGCGAGCAUUUGAUUUCUUCGUCGGAUGGUAUAUUUAUAUAUAUACGUCAAUUAUUUGACUCUCACAUCUCAUGAAUAUACACGAGCAAACAUAUAUAUUUAUAUAUAAAGCUUUGGUUAUAAAUCCUUGAAAUUUGAAAAAUAUACUUGCAGUAUUUAAUUCAUAAUUUUUGUUCUAUAUAUAUGAAGGUUUUUGGAUCCACUGGUCUAUGGAAGAUAUCCAAAGAUAAUGCGACAGAUGGUGGGAAAUAGAUUGCCCAAAUUCACACCCCAAGAAUCAAAAUUAGUCAAAGGAUCACUUGAUUUUCUAGGGUUGAACUAUUACGUUACUCAAUAUGCGACCACCGCACCUCGUUCCACACAACCUAAUGUCAUAACCGAUGCAAGAGUUACUCUUGGAUGUAUGUAAAAAAUAUUGUGUUUCUUAUAUGUAUAUGUGUGUGUGUGUGGGUUUGUUAAACUCAUAUAAUUUUCUCUACUUUCCUACAGAUUAUCGCAACAAAGUACCUAUUGGUGUUCAGGUUAUCAUCAACUUUGAUUUAGAAUCAUUAUUUUUUUUAAAGAUCGUAGCAUUUUUUAAAUUUCAAUUCUUUUUUUUUUGUUCCCUUCUUGUGCAGGCGCCUAGCUUCGUCUACUACCCUCCAGGGAUCCGUCAGAUUCUAAACUAUAUCAAAAACAAUUACGGAAACCCACUUACCUACAUCACUGAAAAUGGUACUUACAUAUCUUCAUACCAAUACAUAUACGAUUAACCAAUGAAAACGUUAUAUAUAUCUUGUUAAAAUCUUGUGUUAAAUUUUCAGGAGUUGCUGAUCUUGAUACCGGAAACUUAACGCUGCCAGAUGCUCUUGCUGAUAAUGGACGAAUUCAAAAUCAUUGCAGCCAUCUUUCAUGUCUCAAAUGUUCUAUCGAGUGAGUUUUAAUGAUUCUUACUUAAUUUAUUUAACAUACUUUUGAGCAUUAUAAGUGUUAACAUUAUUUCAAAUAUAUUACAGUGAUGGAUGCAACGUAGCAGGGUAUUUUGCAUGGUCUUUGAUGGAUAACUACGAGUUCGGAAAUGGUUACACUCUCCGCUUUGGUAUGAAUUGGGUCAAUUUCACUAAUCCUGCUGAUCGAAGAGAAAAAGCUUCUGGCAAAUGGUUUUCUGAGUUCAUAAUCAAACAAUAAGAGGAAUCAAUAUAUUUAAACAAAUUAUGUGCAUCCAACCUAUUGAAUCUAAUAAUUACUCUACUCUAUGUAUUGUUUGUUUUAUUUUUAUUAUAAUUAAUUAAUAAAGCUUCGAUGAUGUGUAUGUGUUGCUAAUACAGUUGUAAUAACCAGGCCUUGAUGUUCGGUCAAUCAUAAAUAACGUGAAAAUUAUACAUAUGUAGGCUUUCUUCUUCUUCUUCUUUCUAUAUACUCUAGCCAACAAUUACUUGUCAACGUGCCGUCUUAACCAAUAUAAUAGUCCUAGACGAAACACAGAAUAUAUACCUUUUUAUAAAUAUUUUCUAUAUUUUGUUUUCACUACAUUUCUUUUAACUUGACUCUUAGACCUGAAACAAAUAGAAAACAAUAUCCCAAAACUAAUGAUGGAAGUACAAAUUUCUUCUUGUUUUGUUUUCUAAUUUACUUAAUUAUGAGUAUUUUUUGAUAACUUAUGGACCUUUAAAACAAUACAAAAAAAGAUUAUGAACCUAUGGACCCAUGGCAAAUGCCCAUGUUGCCAUGGGUAAGAGAUGGCACUGCUUGUCAAAAGCUUACAAUGUUGGACUUUUUGCAAGAUUGACUCAAAACUCAAACUCAAACCUAAAACUAACCCAUGCUUUUCUUGGAUUUUUCUUUUGUCCUAUUCACCCCACAAGUUCAUAUAAUUCACGAAAAUGCCAUCAAAAUUUUUUUCUUUCCGAAAAUGACAUUUUUACUCUCUCACCCUCAUCAUCUUCAAGUAAUUACAAGAUUGUCAUUGUCAUCAAUACCCCAACCACCAUGAACAACCAAUUUGAAUCUCUUAAUGCACCUAAAAUCGAUUUACACUCUCUCUUUCUCACUUGUUAUGAACUAAAAACAACAUCUCUUUCACUUUGCCUCCAUAUUCAUCCAAAAAACUCAAGCUUUUGAUUCAAUUUUUUUUUAUGGUUGAUAGAGCCAUUCAAGCAUACUAUUCUUGGUGGGUUACUUUCGUUUGAGAUUCUGGGUGGUUGGAAAAGACUCUGUGUGCUAAGGAAGUCAUCUCACUAGUUUAAGGUAUGAAAUUGAAAUUUUUUCCAGAUCUGUUCGUGUAGAAGACUUACCCGUAAGUAGUCUGGCUGUAGAAGACUUACGGGUAAGUCUUCUGGUCAAACGGACGACUUACUUUUAAGUCGUCAUCUUUGUUUGUUAAAAAAAAAUCUAGAGAAUACCCUAGACGACUUACUGAUAAGUCGUCUAGGAUAAAUGGGUUAGUUUUGCAUUUGACCGAAUUGUGUCAGAUAUUUGACUUUUCCUAGACGACUUACGAGUAAGUCGUCUCCGGGAAAACAAAAAUUUCAAUAUUUUAUUAAAUCUGGACGACUUAUCUGUAAGUCGUCUCAGGUUACUUUUGCAAUUGGAAAAUAAAACUUAAAUAUUUAACUUUUCCCAGACGACUUACGCGGAAGUCGUCAAGUAAGACGACUUACUUGAAAGUCGUCCAGGAUAAGCAAAGUCGUCCAGAUUUAUUUCCUAGAUUAUGGUCAAACCUUGCUUAUCUCGGACGACUUUCUCGUACGUCGUCUGCCUGGACGACUUUCAAGUAAGUCGUCUGGGUAAAGUUAAAUAUUUAAGUUUCUUUUUCGAAUUGCAAACUAACCUGAGAAGACUUACAAAUAAGUCGUCUAGCUUUAAUAAAAUAUUGAAAUUUUUGUUUUCCCUGAGACGACUUACUGGUAAGUCGUCCAGGAAAAGUCAAAUAUCUGAUACAAUUCGGUCAAAUGCAAAACUAACCCAUUUAUCCUAGACGACUUGGCAAGUCGUCUAGUUUUUUUUUUAACAAACAAAGCUGGACGACUUACUUGUAAGUCGUCCUAUUUAAAAUUCAAUUGCAAAAAUGACAUGUUUGGACGACUUACUGGUAAGUCUUCCAGACGACUUACUGGUAUGUCGUCUGCGUCAAUGUUUAGUAAACUUUCAUUUUCUCUAUGUUUACUAAUGUGUUUUAUUUUGAAUUUUUGUAGAUGAUGCGUCAGUUACAUGCAGUGUAUGGAGAAUGGUUGUUGAAAGAUUGCCGUUGGGAUUUUGUGGUUGAUAAUGUCAAAGGAGCGAGAAUCAUUUUUUUGGGGGAAGGUUCGACACAUGCUGAACUUCUUGCAAUGGCUCAAGAAGAUUAUAACCUGGACAUGAGCACAGAAUCUGUGGAGAUAACCUACUCAUUACCAGCAGAAAUGAUGCAGGCUCCAGACACCCCUCCUAUUCAUGUUACAAGUGAUAGACAAGUUCGAAACUUGCUCGAGAUAACCAAAACGCAUGGAGUACGACUUUGUGUAUCAAGCCGUAGCAAAGUGGAAACGGUUUCAGAGUUCAGGGAAGAAGAUGAUGAAGCUGAUGAAGCUGAUGAAUGUUUUGAAGAUGAUGAUGAUGAUUUGGUUGAAGAUGAAAAUCAUGAUGGGGAGGAGGAUGAUGGGGAGGAUGACGAUGGAGAGGAGGAUGCUGGUAUCUCUAUUGUUGCUGAAGCGGACGAGAAUGGUGAGGAUUACAAUGUUUAUGGAAAGUUUGAAGAUGAGGAUGAGGAAGAUGAUGAUAUGUGUUUUGAAGAUAUCAAAAAGAUUGAAGGAGGAAGAUCGAAUGGUAACAGUAUCUAUGUCAACCAGAGUUUUGUUAGCAAGGAUGCACUGCUUUCAGAGCUGCGGUUGACAGCAGUGAGGUUUAAGUUCUCCUUCAGAAUAUACAAGUCAACGAAAACUCUCCUUGUGACAACAUGUCCGGUUAGUGGUUGUCAAUGGAAGGUCAGAGCGAGUGUGAAACAUGGGACAAACACGUUUUGGGUAACAAAGUAUGUGGAAAAACAUACAUGCUCAGCGGGAGACCGACUCGCUCAGCGGAGACACUGUACUCCGAAGUAUGUUGGUAGGCUUUUCAUUGAUCGUGUUGGAAUCAUUGAUGGGUUGAAUCCGCAGCAUAUCACUGAUGCAAUGAAGAACAUGUUUGGCAUGACGCUUGAUUACACCACUUCAUACAGAGCACUUUUAUAUGCACAAACAUUGGUGAGAGGAUCAGCAGAAGAUGGGUAUUCGCGUCUGCCAUCAUAUCUCGAGCAAAUCUCCUUAGCAAAUCCCGAUUCUAUCACGGCUAUAGAACUUGAUUCUAUCAAUAGAUUUAAGUAUCUAUUUCUCUCUUUUGGAGCUUCUAUCAAAGGUUUUAAGUAUCAGAGAAGGGUCAUUGUGGUGGAUGGGACUCACCUAAGUGGGAAGUAUGGAGGUGUUAUGUUAGUUGCAGCCGCACAAGAUGGGAAUUUUCAGAUAUUUCCAUUGGCUUUUGGGAUCGUAGAUGCUGAAGAUGAACCUUCUUGGGAAUGGUUUUUCACAAAAUUGGCUAGUUGUGUAUCUGAUGAGCAGCCUCUGGUGAUAGUCUCUGACCGGCACGCGGCCAUUAAAAGUGCGUGUGAUAAGGUGUUUCCUUGGGCAACCCGAGGAAUAUGUUAUUAUCACCUUCAAGAUAACAUUGUCAAAAAGUAUAAAGGGAAACAUCUCUUGUACUUGGUGAAAGGUGCUGCUUAUGCUCAUACGGUUUCAGAUUUUGACCGGUACAUGGCUGAGAUACGGAGUGCAAACCCGGACCUUGCAACGUAUUUGGAGAAUGCCGACGUCAGCCUAUGGUCAAGGGUUUAUUGUCAGGGGGACAGGUACAACAUAAAGACAAGCAACAUCGCUGAAUCUAUUAAUUCCGCUCUGAAGCGAGCUAGAGGAUUUCCGGUUCAGUUCCUGUUGGAGUUCAUAAGGGAGAAGCUAGGAAAGUGGUUUUGGAAAAGGAGAGAAGAUGCUUUGAGUCUCCCAACUCAACAUAGUCGAGGUGUUGAAUACUUGCUUGCUGUUCGAUCGGAGAUAGCGGAUACGAUGACGGUACAACCAAUUGAUGGAUGGCGAUUCUUUGUGAAAGGUGGGAAAAUGGACUGUGUGGUUGAUUUGGAACAUGGAAAGUGUGAUUGUGGUGUCUAUGCAGUGGAGAAAAUACCUUGCUCUCAUGCUAUAGCUGCUGGAACAUCUGUUGGUUUGCAUAUCUCCACACUUGUAUGUCCAGUGUACUCAAAGGAUUUUCUGUUUGCAGGAUACUCAGAGAAUAUAUAUCCUUGUGUUGGACAACAAGUUGAGGAACGCACAUGCUUUCCUCCGGAUGUAAAGCGUGGUCCGGGAAGACAGAAGAAAUCAAGAUGACAAUCUUGGUUGGAGCUAUCCAGGAUGAGAGGACGCAAACCCCGGAAGCAACACAGGGCUUAUAGAUGCUCAAAAUGCAAGGAAACUGGCCAUACGAAACCACAAUGUAAGUCGUCCAGUGUUUAGUCUUCCAGAAGACCUUCAAUUAAGUCGUCCAGAAGGUCGUCCAGUUAGUCGUCCAGGGUUUUUUCUUCCAGAAGACCUUCAAGUUAGUCGUCCAGUGUUUAGUCUUCCAGAAGACCUUCAAUUAAGUCGUCCAGAAGGUCGUCCAGUUAGUCGUCCAGUGUUUAGUCUUCCAGAAGACCUUCAAUUAAGUCGUCCAGAAGGUCGUCCAGUUAGUCGUCCAGUGUUUAGUCUUCCAGAAGACCUUCAAUUAAGUCGUCCAGAAGGUCGUCCAGUUAGUCGUCCAGAGUUUUUUCUUCCAGAAGACCUUCAAGUUAGUCGUCCAGUGUUCAGUCUAUGUACUAAAAAUUUGUGUUAUGAACUUAUCUGUGUCAACUUCUUUGUCAAAUUGCACUACCAAACAAAUUUGAGAUGGUCUUGCCCUUUAUAUUAUCCGAAAUAUAGUUACAAAAGGUCACUGCUCAGAAGACUUUCCAGACUACUUAUAGUUAAGUCGUCCAGACGACUUAACUGUAAGUCUUCUGCGCAGAAUAUAGUUACAAAAUAGGGAUCAAGUUCAAAUACAAAAUAGGGAUCAAGUUCAAAUACACACAUCAGCCUAAUCUAUCAUACAAAAUCAUCUAAAGUGGCCUGUUUAUCACCCGUCAUACGUACCCAGGAUGUCAUCCAUGUCCUUGUUUUCGAACUCAUGCGCGUCAGGAAGCUCUUGAAAUAUAUCCACCGCCAUCUUAUCCCUCAUACUCUUCCCGUUGGCCUUAGCAAAGUCUUUUUUACUAAACUCUAUCCCAAGAGCAUGACAUUCAAUGUACUUUAGAGUGUACACGCCACAAUCACCAGCUCGGGCCGGAGGUAUAUUGGUCGGUCUCUCAUAUGUGAAUGGCUCCAGGCUGUAUUGGGCACGUUGUUCGUCUGAGGAAGCGCACUCAACAAGCAGAUAAGGGACCAUGUAGAGAAAAGGCUCCAUUACCACAUCGAGUUCUUCUGGGGAGAUACUGGAACAAAUGUUGUCAAAGACGACUAUGUGCCUCUUAGGGAUCGAUAUCCACAUAGCAAUCCAAUGAGUGUCGGCGUAGUUCACUGGCGCAUAGAUAUCAUCAAUAUCCGUCCCCCAAACCUUGUUCGAUUGGCAAAAUGAUGGUAUAGUGCCUGCAUGAUAAUUCCACGCCCCACCAGGGAGUCUUCUUCCUAAACCGUUCUGAUCGGGCUCCGAGUCCUUAAAAUCCUUGAAGUUGAAUCUCCAUUGCUGAGCAAAGAGAUGAUCAAGGAAGCACAUUCUCUCGCUCCUGAAAUGUUGUGGGUUAGCGUCGUACCUCUUCCUCAGCACAUUAAUCCAAGCAUCAAUAUGCUGCAUAUAAAAUAGGGUACAAGUCAGAAGAUAUCAGACGAGUUACUGGUAAGUCUUCUACGUAGACGACUUACCAGAAGACUUACUUGUAAUUCGUCUACGUAGAAGACUUACCAGACGACUUAUUGGUAAGUCGUCUACAAAGAAGACUUAUCAGUAAGUUAUCUAAGUCAUAGCAGAAGAUUUACACAGUCCUCCAGCCACUCUAAGGAGGUUCAGAGGAUUUGAAACCACCAAGUUCUACUUUUACGUGGUUUUUUAUCGAGAGGUGUUCUAUAAUGACUGCAAACACAAAAUGUUGAAAAGCAAUCAAUUUUUGUAGACUAAAGCAAGCUAUUAUGGGAAAAGCAAACACUUACGGACAAGAUUUCAACCAAUCAGCGAGCUCCUUCAACUUCUUCUUGUCAAUUGGUGCAAAAGGAUUAUAGCCUGGAUAAAGCUUUCUGUUUGAAAUGAUCACUCUGGCCGUGCUGUUUGCCGUAUAAGGAGAUUGCUGUGAGGCAGCAAGUUUCCUUGUUCGAUCACUCUUUGCACGGCAAAGUGAGUUUUUUCUUCCAGAAGACCUUCAAGUUAGUCGUCCAGUGUUUAGUCUUCCAGAAGACCUUCAAUUAAAUCGUCCAGAAGGUCGUCCAGUUAGUCGUCCAGUGUUUAGUCUUCCAGAAGACCUUCAAUUAAGUCGUCCAGAAGGUCGUCCAGUUAGUCGUCCAGGGUUUUUUCUUCCAGAAGACCUUCAAGUUAGUCGUCCAGUGUUUAAUCUUCCAGAAGACCUUCAAUUAAGUCAUCCAGAAGGUCGUCCAUUUAGUUGUCCAGGGUUUUUUCUUCCAGAAGACCUUCAAGUUAGUCGUCCAGUGUUCAGUCUAUGUACUAAAAAUUUGUGUUAUGAACUUAUCUGUGUCAACUUCUUUGUCAAAUUGCACUACCAAACAAAUUUGAGAUGGUCUUGCCCUUUAUAUUAUCCGAAAUAUAGUUACAAAAGGUCACUGCUCAGAAGACUUUCCAGACUACUUAUAGUUAAGUCGUCCAGACGACUUAACUGUAAGUCUUCUGCGCAGAAUAUAGUUACAAAAUAGGGAUCAAGUUCAAAUACAAAAUAGGGAUCAAGUUCAAAUACACACAUCAGCCUAAUCUAUCAUACAAAAUCAUCUAAAGUGGCCUGUUUAUCACCCGUCAUACGUACCCAGGAUGUCAUCCAUGUCCUUGUUUACGAACUCAUGCGCGUCAGGAAGCUCUUGAAAUAUAUCCACCGCCAUCUUAUCCCUCAUACUCUUCCCGUUGGCCUUAGCAAAGUCUUUUUUACUAAACUCUAUCCCAAGAGCAUGACAUUCAAUGUACUUUAGAGUGUACACGCCACAAUCACCAGCUCGGGCCGGAGGUAUAUUGGUCGGUCUCUCAUAUGUGAAUGGCUCCAGGCUGUAUUGGGCACGUUGUUCGUCUGAGGAAGCGCACUCAACAAGCAGAUAAGGGACCAUGUAGAGAAAAGGCUCCAUUACCACAUCGAGUUCUUCUGGGGAGAUACUGGAACAAAUGCUGUCAAAGACGACUAUGUUCCUCUUAGGGAUCGAUAUCCACAUAGCAAUCCAAUGAAUGUCGGCAAAGUUCACUGGCGCAUAGAUAUCAUCAAUAUCCGUCCCCCAAACCUUGUUCAAUUGGCAAAAUGAUGGUAUAGUGCCUGCAUAAUAAUUCCACGCCCCACCAGGGAGUCUUCUUCCUAAACCGUUCUGAUCGGGCUCCGAGUCCUUAAAAUCCUUGAAGUUGAAUCUCCAUUGCUGAGCAAAGAGAUGAUCAAGGAAGCACAUUCUCUCGCUCCUGAAAUGUUGUGGGUUAGCGUCGUACCUCUUCCUCAGCACAUUAAUCCAAGCAUCAAUAUGCUGCAUAUAAAAUAGAGUACAAGUCAGAAGAUAUCAGACGACUUAGUGGUAAGUCUUCUACGUAGACGACUUACCAGACGACUUACAAGUAAGUCGUAGACGAAUUAAGUCGUCUGAUAAGUCGUCUACGUAGAAGACUUACCAGACGACUUACAAGUAAGUCGUCUACGUCAUAGCAGAAGACUUACACAGUCCUCCAGCCACUCUAGGGAGGUUCGGAGGAUUUGAUACCACCAAGUUCUACUUUUACGUGGUUUUUUAUCGAGAGCUGUUCUAUAAUGACUGCAAACACAAAAUGUUGAAAAGCAAUCAGGUUUUAUGGGAAAAGCAAGCUAUUAUGUAAAAAGCAAGCUAUUAUGUGAAAAGCAAACACUUACGGACAAGAUUUCAACCACUCAGCGAGCUCCCUCAACUUAUUCUUGUCAAUUGGUGCAAAAGGAUUAUAGCCUGGAUAAAGCUUUCUGUUUGAAAUGAUCACUCUGGCCGUCCUGUUUGCCGUAUAAGGAGAUUUCUGUGAUCGGGCAAGUUUCCUUGUUCGAUCACUCUUUGCACGGCAAAGUGCCAAAGCAGCAUCCUUCUUUUCUAGAUAUCUAGCAUCCUCCUUCUGCAAAUCUGAAACAGUGGAUUGAUUUUUGUCCAAUAGAACAAGGCUCGGUUCUGGAGCUUUAUCUUCCGCGGAACUAGCAUCUGCGGGCACAGCUGCGGGCACAUCUGCGGGCACAUCUGCGGGCACAUCUGGACCUUUAUCCUCCGCCAAGCUCUUCCUUCCCGCGUUCGUCCCAUUAACACUUUCACUCUGCAAUAUACAAUAAUAACCAAAGAUCCAUUUCAAACAAUAAUAACCAAUGAGUGUUUUCAAACAAGAAACAAAAUACAUAUAUAAAAUCCAUACACUAUAAACAAAGCACACAUGUUCUGACAUACAAGAAACAAAGCAAAUGCAACUUUUCAGUUCUUAUUCUUAAGACUUUGUCUAGUCAAUCUCUUGUUGGGAGAGGAUUCGUUACUAACCCCGGGUUCGAGCGUCGGUUUAGGUGGAGGGGUAGUGUUUUGAGCUGAUGUCCCUUUCCGUUUUGUGGUGAUACCAACCUUCUUCUCCACAGCUUCCACCCUUUCCGACAGAUACUUGAUCUCCUUAAGGCACGUCCCAAACCCUUCCCUCAUGGCAUCAGCUAUGUCCUUGAACAUNNNNNNNNNNNNNNNNNNNNNNNNNNNNNNNNNNNNNNNNNNNNNNNNNNNNNNNNNNNNNNNNNNNNNNNNNNNNNNNNNNNNNNNNNNNNNNNNNNNNNNNNNNNNNNNNNNNNNNNNNNNNNNNNNNNNNNNNNNNNNNNNNNNNNNNNNNNNNNNNNNNNNNNNNNNNNNNNNNNNNNNNNNNNNNNNNNNNNNNNNNNNNNNNNNNNNNNNNNNNNNNNNNNNNNNNNNNNNNNNNNNNNNNNNNNNNNNNNNNNNNNNNNNNNNNNNNNNNNNNNNNNNNNNNNNNNNNNNNNNNNNNNNNNNNNNNNNNNNNNNNNNNNNNNNNNNNNNNNNNNNNNNNNNNNNNNNNNNNNNNNNNNNNNNNNNNNNNNNNNNNNNNNNNNNNNNNNNNNNNNNNNNNNNNNNNNNNNNNNNNNNNNNNNNNNNNNNNNNNNNNNNNNNNNNNNNNNNNNNNNNNNNNNNNNNNNNNNNNNNNNNNNNNNNNNNNNNNNNNNNNNNNNNNNNNNNNNNNNNNNNNNNNNNNNNNNNNNNNNNNNNNNNNNNNNNNNNNNNNNNNNNNNNNNNNNNNNNNNNNNNNNNNNNNNNNNNNNNNNNNNNNNNNNNNNNNNNNNNNNNNNNNNNNNNNNNNNNNNNNNNNNNNNNNNNNNNNNNNNNNNNNNNNNNNNNNNNNNNNNNNNNNNNNNNNNNNNNNNNNNNNNNNNNNNNNNNNNNNNNNNNNNNNNNNNNNNNNNNNNNNNNNNNNNNNNNNNNNNNNNNNNNNNNNNNNNNNNNNNNNNNNNNNNNNNNNNNNNNNNNNNNNNNNNNNNNNNNNNNNNNNNNNNNNNNNNNNNNNNNNNNNNNNNNNNNNNNNNNNNNNNNNNNNNNNNNNNNNNNNNNNNNNNNNNNNNNNNNNNNNNNNNNNNNNNNNNNNNNNNNNNNNNNNNNNNNNNNNNNNNNNNNNNNNNNNNNNNNNNNNNNNNNNNNNNNNNNNNNNNNNNNNNNNNNNNNNNNNNNNNNNNNNNNNNNNNNNNNNNNNNNNNNNNNNNNNNNNNNNNNNNNNNNNNNNNNNNNNNNNNNNNNNNNNNNNNNNNNNNNNNNNNNNNNNNNNNNNNNNNNNNNNNNNNNNNNNNNNNNNNNNNNNNNNNNNNNNNNNNNNNNNNNNNNNNNNNNNNNNNNNNNNNNNNNNNNNNNNNNNNNNNNNNNNNNNNNNNNNNNNNNNNNNNNNNNNNNNNNNNNNNNNNNNNNNNNNNNNNNNNNNNNNNNNNNNNNNNNNNNNNNNNNNNNNNNNNNNNNNNNNNNNNNNNNNNNNNNNNNNNNNNNNNNNNNNNNNNNNNNNNNNNNNNNNNNNNNNNNNNNNNNNNNNNNNNNNNNNNNNNNNNNNNNNNNNNNNNNNNNNNNNNNNNNNNNNNNNNNNNNNNNNNNNNNNNNNNNNNNNNNNNNNNNNNNNNNNNNNNNNNNNNNNNNNNNNNNNNNNGGCUUUAGGGUUUUUCUGAUUUUCGAUAAACAGUGAAAAAAAACACCUUAUAUAUGGCCGGUAAAUAAUCCGGUUAGGUUUAAAAGUACAUUGUAAAAUUAAAGGUUUGGUCCGGUUUGGACGACUUACUAGUAAGCCGUCUGUUGAAUACUGUACAUCAGACGACUUACUAGUAAGUCGUCCCAGACCCUAAAUUUAACCCCUAAACUAAAUUGACUAAAUUAACUAACUAACCACGUUCUAAAGCUCGUAGUUCUACUUAAAUAGUGUUUACUAUACACAAAAAUAAACACACUUAGGUAAAUUUUAAAUUUUUCAAGAAAACAUUUAUGCAUUCCAAAAUCUAACCCUAAGAACACAUACAAUACUACAACAUAUGUAGGCAAAACCUAAACUAAAAAAUAUCAUGACUCAUUACUUUCACUCAUCUAUGCUGAAAACAAUUAAAUUUUGUUAUAUCUUAAUUUAUAUCUCUUAAAACAUAUGUUAAUUACAUGAUUUCAAUUUUUCACUUAUCAAAAUAUUUUUUACAAAAUUUUUAAAUUAUUUCUAAGUAGAACUAGACCAGACGACUUACCAGGAUUAGAAACGUAAAAAAAUUUCGGUUUUUUUGUUUGAUCACAAGGAGCUGGUUGUAAUUUCAAUAGCAUUUUAGGUUAAUUUUGCAUUUUAUUCAAGUUUAGGUUUACUUUUGUGUUUGAAAUCAAGUUGUGAGUCAUAUUUGGCAAUUUUUCCUACAAUGUUCUCUAAUAUUUGAUAUUGUUAUUAAUUAUUACCACGCUGGCUUGUUUGAACAACAAAAGAGGAAAACCAGGGAUGUAUUAUACUUAAUGCCUAAUUAAUGGGAAAAGUCGAAUAAUUUUGUUUUGUUUGUAUAGUUCUCUACAAUUCUAGAUUAAAGACACCAAAAUAACAAACAAAAUUUUGACUACCCUCGAAAUUCAGACCUAGUUAUUAAACUAUUGUACCCACAAUUGUAUAAAUUAUGAGAAUUAAGUUUACCACUCUUUUUUCUCCACCAUCCUCAUUGUUCUUCAGUAUAUGAAUGGGUGUAAUGUACGACAAUUAUGAACUUGUGGGAAGUUAUAUGCUACGGUUCGGUAUGAAUUAGGUUAUCUUCACCAGUCCUGCUGAUAGAAAGGAGAAAAACUCCGGAAAUUGGUACUCUAAGUUUAUUGCUAGAGAACAAAUAGAUAAUGUCAACUACAUUUUUCCAACUCCGGAAAGCGAUACUAUUUACAUUGAAUGCUGUUUUAACUAUAGGGAUGCAAUUAGUGUUGUAAUGAUUAGUUGGACUUAAUACAUAAUAUAAUCAUUAUAAAUAAAUAAAGGCCUUUCAAGCCAGUAAUAUAAAUAAAUAAACGUAUAUACAUACUUCUUUAUAGAAUACAAGCAUAUCUCUAGUGAUUCUCUCUUUCGCCAUAUUUGCUACUCUAAAUUUAGAUAGUGUUUUUCUCUGCGUAUGUUUUGUGCGCUUGGAAGGUUAUUUAUGGUCUCAAGCUUAAGCUUUGGUUUCUCGAUGGUUGGCUUCCAUUCUCCCCCACUCAAGUUAUUUAUCUUCUUCUCAUGCAUCCCUUGGUGUAGGUGUGCGAAGUUAGUUUUUUGGAGCUUUGGUUUAUUCUAUUCAAAGUUUUGUGGAUCUUUAUCGGCAUAUGGGCGCUUUGUAUGUGCUUAUUUAGUUUGUGAGAUGCUUAUUAUCUCUUAGUUGGUGGUUGUGCUUCCGGUGCUUUAGACAUGCGUAUUUUUGUUUCGUGGUGACUUUAUUCUUCCGAUGAUUGUUCUUUCUCUGACACAUUUUUUUUGUUUAUUUGCGCUGGUGCUUGAUCGCGAUCCUUUGUGUUCAGGGGAUUGCUUUGUCUCAUAUUUUACCUUUUUCUGACAUUUGCUUGUUCUAACCAAGACAUUCUAUGGUAAGAUGAGAUAUGUUAGUCUUCUUUGUUGAUCUUUUUCAGCUCCAAACCUUUAUUGAGUUAGUGUUACUAUGGUAUUUUUUUUUUUUCUGUGACUGUGGAAACCGCUUAGUCCAGUGGUUCGACUAAAGAUUCAUUAAUGCUUCUACAGACGGCUUACUAGGUUAGUUUGUUUGGUCACAAGGGGCUGGCCGUAAUUUCAUAAGGCUUUUAGGUUAGUUUUGCAUUUGAUUCAAGAUUUGGAUAUAGUUUUGCAUUUAAAAUCAAGUUUUGAGUCAUAUUUGGCAAAUUUCCCUGUAUUUAUUAUAAAAUUCACAACAAUAUAUUAUCUAAAGUAAUUAUAUAAAAAAUCUAAUAGUAUAUAAAACUUUGAAAUCUAAAUAAUUCAUUAAAAUAUUAUUGAAUUUUUUUAAAUAUGAAUAUAAUAGUUAUGUUUAUAUUAAUUAUAAAAGAAUCUGUUGAGAAAAUAUAUAUAAAACUUACCAGAAUCCAAUAUAUUUAUAAAAUAAUGAAUUAGUUUAGUAAAUGGCUUUUUCAAAUGUCAUUUAAUCUUCCAAACUCAAAAUUUUUUCUAAAUUUCUCACGUCCAAAUAAACAUUUUUGGAAAUAAAUAUUCUAGAAUCAAAAUAAUAAUAUUCCAUAUUUUACAAAAGAUAAAAUCGUAUAUGUUAAAAUAUAAUUCUUUGAAAUGAAAAAAAAAAUUAUUAUGUAAAAUCAAAGGUAAUAUAAUAUUUUGAAAUCUUAAUUUAAUAAAAAAAUGAUAAAACGUAAUAUCAUAACAUCCAAAAAGUAUUUUAUAUUGACAUAAUUUAUUAAAGUAAUUUAUAUGAGAGAUGCUAUUAUGUUUAAAAUCUAUAAUAUAAUAGUUCAGUUUCUCUCCCCCUAAGCUGUCCACGUGUCAUCUUUGUGGGCCUCAUUUUUAGUUUUUUUUGUUUCAAACGUGUGGGCUUUAGUUUGUGAUCUCUCUUCAGUUCUUUUGUGGGCUUUCCCACAAAUCGGCCCGGAAAGCAUCAUUUAGGGUUAUGCACUUCACAUUUGAGAUUCUUCGUCGUCUGAGCCGUUUCCUAUUCGGAAGUUUCGUUUUUGUAGCUCGAUCUCUUCGACUCCUCCACGUUCUCUACCGACUUAGGGAUUUCUCUUCCUGUAACGGAUUCUCCAGCCUCCUUUAUAUAGAUUCAUCGAAGGUAAGCUCUCAUCUGCCUCUAAGCUUGUCUCCUCCACUUCUUACCAUCGUUUAAGCUCUAAACUCCGUUACGAAAAUGUCUUCAUCAGCUGCUUCAGUCGCUAACGCCGCCGUCGCCUACUCCACGUCCAACUCUCUUCGCCACGGAAGAGCCGCUCGGACCGUUGUCAGACCGUUGUCACUCUCCUCAUCUGCUUUUGGGAUUCUCGAAACAUCAACAAAAAUGGCGAAUUUAUGGGGAUAACAAUUCUCCUCCUCGAUGAAUUGGUGAGGAUUGAUUCGGCCCUAUUUCCUUGCAAUGAGAUUUUGUCUAUGAGAUUUUUCACAAAUUAUUAAUGAUCUUGACGUUUCAUAUUUCUUUGCUAUGAGAUUUUGUCUAUGAGAUUUUCUGUUUCUUUAGUUUUGUCUAUGAGAUUUUUUUCAUCAGUUAUUAAUGAUCUUCUUUUGACUCGGUGAUUCACGGUUUCAUUCCUGCAAAUCGGGCCAGCCAGUACCGACCAUCUUUGAAAGCUGGUUCUAUUUUGAGAUUGGACCGGUUUGAAGUUGCACGGGUCGCUCACAUGUAUAAGAUCACGGAGCAUCAGUUCUUGAUCCUUUUCAUCCCUUCAACCCGUAAAACUUUCAAAUAUUCUCCCUCUGGUUAAGGCCUAUUGUUAAAUCAGAAGUUAUCUUGUAAAGUACACAAGAAUCUCAUUCUUGUCAUCUUUGAGCAUCAACAAUCCAUAAGAACCCGUGUAGUAUAUAGAAGCCAGUUCUACAUUUACUUUGAAAUGUAGAACCAAGCAAGUUUCGUUGCUAAGCAUAAAAUUAAUAUUAACAGACGACAUGGUAGGACAGGAGGCAUGUGGUGUUCGGGCAAGUUAUAGAAGGAAUGGAUGUGGUGAGGCUCAUAGAGGAACAAGAGACAGACAGAGGAGACCGUCCCAGAAAGAAAGUGGUCAUUGCAGACUGUGGUCAACUUCCAAUGUCCAAAGCCUAAGUAACAUUUAAAACUCAAAACCUUGUGACAAUGAGAUGGAGCUGUGUUAUGUGCAGGGGCGGACGCAGUAAGGGUUGUGCGGGGUCACGUGCCCCCGUCUCAUUCUUAAUUUUCUUUGAGCAAUUAAAGUUAAUCAAAGCCAGUGCCCCCAUCUAACUAUAAAAUAUAGUGAAAAAAAUUUAUGUGCCCCCGGUUAAAUGCAGUUCUAGAUCCGCCACUGGUUAUGUGUCUGCAUUUUUACACGCUUUCUGGAAAUGGAUUUUAGUUCAUUUGUAAUAAGACCAAUUUCUUCUGUCAUUUUUUUUUCUCUUCAGAAGAGGAAAAAGCUGUUAGUUUGUAAUUGAGUUCUUAGUCUUAUGUUAUUUAGUUAUUAAGUUAUAAUGUUGUAUCAAAACAUGCGUGUAAUAAGUCGUGACUUUACAUUGGAGAGUUGUGUGUAUUCCAAAAGUCACAAUGUUUAGUCAAGUAAGUGUAUGUGUGUUUGUCUUAAUAAAGCAAUAAGUUUCAGUAUUAUUUAACAGACGACAUGGUAGGACAGGAGGCAUGUGGUGUUCGGGCAAGUUAUAGAAGGAAUGGAUGUGGUGAGGCUCAUAGAGGAACAAGAGACAGACAGAGGAGACCGUCCCAGAAAGAAAGUGGUCAUUGCAGACUGUGGUCAACUUCCAAUGUCCAAAGCCUAAGUAACAUUUAAAACUCAAAACCUUGUGACAAUGAGAUGGAGCUGUGUUAUGUGCAGGGGCGGACGCAGUAAGGGUUGUGCGGGGUCACGUGCCCCCGUCUCAUUCUUAAUUUUCUUUGAGCAAUUAAAGUUAAUCAAAGCCAGUGCCCCCAUCUAACUAUAAAAUAUAGUGAAAAAAAUUUAUGUGCCCCCGGUUAAAUGCAGUUCUAGAUCCGCCACUGGUUAUGUGUCUGCAUUUUUACACGCUUUCUGGAAAUGGAUUUUAGUUCAUUUGUAAUAAGACCAAUUUCUUCUGUCAUUUUUUUUUCUCUUCAGAAGAGGAAAAAGCUGUUAGUUUGUAAUUGAGUUCUUAGUCUUAUGUUAUUUAGUUAUUAAGUUAUAAUGUUGUAUCAAAACAUGCGUGUAAUAAGUCGUGACUUUACAUUGGAGAGUUGUGUGUAUUCCAAAAGUCACAAUGUUUAGUCAAGUAAGUGUAUGUGUGUUUGUCUUAAUAAAGCAAUAAGUUUCAGUAUUAUUCUGUUUUGUCUUUCUAGAAACAGAGCACCGAUUUCAAACUUAAUCUGCAGUCUUUAUAUUUCACAAAUAAAACUUUUGUUCUGUUUUGUUCAAGAAGAAACAAUUUCUUCAAACAAACGCAAUGAGUCCAAGUCUGAAUUGAGAGUUAAGUAGUUAAGCAAAACUAUACUUGGGCUUUUGCUAAUGACGCAGACAGCAGUACAGGGAGACUCUACAGAAGAAACAGAUGAAUCAAACAGGUCCAACAAGAGCAGCAAUGCAGCAUCGAUCUUCACCUUAGAUCCCUUGGAAGGGCCCGGAGAUGAAAAAGACGGCUCAGGGGAUGAAGACGAAGAACAGAAACGCUUGUUGGCGGAAGAGCUACGUCUCGUCUCAACCAUACCUAAUGUAAGCAAAUCUCUCAUCAAUCACGAAUUAAGCAAAAUAUCGUUUUCAAACUCAUAAACUAAAUACUGUAAACAUCUACAGGAAUCGGAGGAAAUUGUGUCCCUUUUCCGACAACGGAGGAAGCAUGAGUUCACUCAGAAUCAGACACAACUUUUGACUUAAGGCCCAGUUCUUUUUGAUGCCCAAAUAUUUUAAUACCAGUUUUUACAUAAAACACUACAUUGGCCAUAAGCUAUACAAAAUUAUAUUUUCUGGUCUAUCUUAUUCAGGCUUUUUGGUGCGAUGAUCAAAUCCCGUUAUAAUUUAAUAAUAAUUAACAGUAGUUGAUUAUUUAUUAAAGAAUAACAAAAACAAACUAAAACAUUUUGUUCUCAAAACUCUAUUAGUCGUUGUAUAAUAUUUAAUUUAGCUAACUUAAUUGGUUCCAAAAUUUAGCAAAAAAAUAAUAAUAAUAAUUCUUCCAAAACUGAUUCGCUAGAAUAAAAAAAAUACUUUAUUUACUGUUCUUAGAAAACUAAAAAUCAAAAGUUCAAAUUUUAAUAUAUUUUUCCUUACACUAUUUGAUUAAUAAACUAAGAAAUAACUUAGUAAUCACUACCAACCCCCAAAACCUCAAAUUUUAAACAUGAAAACGCAAAUAACACUAAUACUUGAACAAAUCAUUACGAAGAAAAAAUAUAAAAAUAACAACACCAAUGAGAUAGCUGAUCUUUAUUAUAUUAACCUAAUCAAGAUGUGUCUUCCUCAAAUUCCAUUCAUAAGCAUUAUAGACAACAUAGAAAAACAAAAAUUUACAAAGAAAAGAAGCGACAAAUUCCCUUACGACAAACCAAAACACACAUCAAUAACGUAUCCGACUCCGCGCUUGCGCGGGGACUGUGUCCCUAGUAUACUAGAAUAAUAGGGCUAUGUUAUUUAAACAUAACAAUGUAUUUACUUAUAAAAACCUGCAAAAUAAUAAAAUGAUAGAUUUUUUAAACACAACAUUAGAUUAUAAAUUAUCCUAAACAAAUAUAUUUGAGAAAAUGACUAGGAUAGCACUAAAAAAGUUUCUGUCACAAAUAUAGCUUCUAACAAUAAAAAUGACCAAAAUAGCACUUAAUGUUUUAUCAAAAGAGAUAAAUAUACACUUAUACCUCAAUGGUAAAUUAAUUUAGACAUUAGGGUUUAGAGUUUAGGGGUGAGGUUUAUGAUUUAGGGUUUAGGGUUUAGGGUUUAGAGUUUAGGGUUUAGGUUUUAGGGUUUAGAGUUGGGAAGUGGGGUUUUGGGAUAAAAUUUCAAAUUUUGAAAAAUAAAAAAAAAUUAAAUUUUUCAAAACAUAAAAUGCUAUUUUGGUCAUUUUAGUUUUUGAGGGCUAUUUUUGUGACAUAAACUUAGAAAUGUGCUAUUUUGGAGAUUUGCCCAAUAUAUUUUAUAUACUAUAGCUAUAUAAAUUUAAAAAAUGUAUUGUAUGCAAACUGUAGAAAUUAAAUAAAUUGAAAAAGAUUGUCUGAUAUGUAAUAAAAAUUAAUAACAAAGUAAAAUAUGUAAAAUUAACAAAUAACCAUAUAUUAAUAAUAUUAAUAGUGGAAUAAAAAAUAAAACAAAUAAAAUUAAAGAAUUACACAAUAUAUAACAGUAACUCUUUAAUCAAAGUUUAUAAAAUUUACAAAUGAAAAAGUAUCCGCACGAACAUUCGGGUUAAACUCUAGUUAGUUUUAAUUUUGGGGUCAAAACGAAAAUGUUAUGAGGCAUACGUUAUGAUUACUGAUAAGUAACAUUAUUAAAUCAUAGAAUAGUAAGAUUUUGGAAUAUACUGUACCGAACGAACCAUAAUACAUGUUCUUUUUAUUUUGUGGCAAUACAUAGGUGAUUCCAAAACGCAUAAAAUGACACUUUUGAAUGCAAGUUUUAUUCAACCAAUAAUAAGAUGCUUUAUGGUAAAAGCCAAAAAGAUAAUAGCAGUUCAGAUUAUCCAGGUGCUAUCAUCUUUCACCUCUGAUUCCUCCGACCAUGUUUGCUGCACAUUUUCCCACACAAACCCUUCAUUUUCCUGCAGGUUCCAAUACAUUUUUCAAUACUCACGAAACUGAAUCUACUCUUAUAGAUUUGUAUACUAGUGUACAGCUGCAUGCCCUCUUAAUCAUCUCUUACCUUUGAGGUGAAUUUGACGGUUGUUGUGCAGCAUUUCCUUUCAUUCCCUGAGAUAUUUAUCCACAAUACGAAUAUCAACAAUUAAAGAAGAGAAUGGUUCAUUUUCAUGGGUCUUGUGUAGCGUAUUAAUGCUUUUAAUUACCAGUUUGUUCCCAUUUAUCAAGUUUUACAAUCCAAGUCCCAUGAGUAGUUUCUGUUGCCAGAACCUGAUCUAUCCAAACCCGGAACUUCUUGUCUUUUUUGUCCCCAUGGUACUUCCAAAGCUCGUCAAUAGUGCCUCUGAGUGAUUUUUCAGCACCAGAUGGAUGAACAAAGACGCCAGCAGGAUCCUAAAGGAUAGCAUCAUAAUUAGCCUCUUAGAUACAUUAAGAUUUGCAGAUAAAGAAAGAGCUUGUCCUUUUCCUCCACCUUUUGGCAAAACAUCUAAAGCUAUUCCUCCACUGAAGAUUAUUUUGAUCUCCAACUGAUAACAAUACCAAGAAAACCAUAAUCAUAUAUGAUAUUAUGGAUGCAAAAUGCAGAAAGAUAUGAACAAACGAAGAUAUUUGAUAUGAUUCACCAAAUCGGUUACGUUCACCAUAAAGAGAGAUUUUCUUACUGGAGGCUCGAGAUAUUUGUAGAUACAUUGUUAAAAGAACCCAAGAUAUAUAUAAGAAUAUUCCGGUCCAGAAACACUAACACUAACAUACUAGCGGGUCUAGGGUCAAAAAGAAUGACUAAACUAAAAAUCGUUGACCUUAUAGGAAAGAUCACCAGCAAAUUACUGUAAGAGAUUCCUCCUAUAAUCGAAGUAUAUCAGCAAUAUAAAUAACAAGUAAGCAAACAAGAUUAAUCAAUCUUAUUACCCCGCGUUUCUCCAACCGUUGAUAUAGCUCCUUGGUCACUUCCUUGACUUUACUUUUGUCAACGUGAAAGCUAAGCUUGUGAGGCAUCUGCUCAGUUUCUGCCUGCAAGGAUUUAUCAGAAUAUUGUCAUACAAAAUCAUUGCUAGGUAGAGACUUUUGUUUGUGUGUUGAAGCUGAAAGUAAGUAACCUGAAGAGUUAACUCAGGGAACUUGCGGGUUUCUUCUUCGACGAUUCCUCGGUUCCAUUUAUUGUUCAUGAUCUCAACCCAGUUCUCAUCGGGAACCAUUGAUUUACCAUAUGAUAUCUCAGUUCCUACAGAGGUAACGAUAACAUCAGGAGUUAACAGUGGUCUCGCUUUCCUCAGUUUCUUGUACAUUGUUUUUGCUCUUCCCGUUGAGAAAACAAGAAGAGAGUCAUGGCGAUAAGCUUCCUCCCACAAUGAAUUGAACCUCAACAAAGAGUGAUUUUCA